GAAAUGCGAUAAGUAGUGUGAAUUGCAGAAUUCAGUGAAUCAUCGAAUCUUUGAACGCACAUUGCGCCCCUUGGUAUUCCAUGGGGCAUGCCUGUUCGAGCGUCAUUUGAACCCUCAAGCUUUGCUUGGUGUUGGGUGUUUGUCCCGCCUUUGCGUGUGGACUCGCCUUAAAGUCAUUGGCAGCCAUGUAAUUCGGCUUUGAGCGCAGCACAUUGCGAUCUCUCUGCUGGUACAUUGGCAUCCAGAAGCCUUUUUUUUACGCUUGACCUCGGAUCAGGUAGGGAUACCCGCUGAACUUAA
rnacentral:misc_RNA from 1 species